AUUGAACGCUGGCGGCAGGCCUAACACAUGCAAGUCGAGCGGAUGAGUGGAGCUUGCUCCAUGAUUCAGCGGCGGACGGGUGAGUAAUGCCUAGGAAUCUGCCUGGUAGUGGGGGACAACGUUUCGAAAGGAACGCUAAUACCGCAUACGUCCUACGGGAGAAAGUGGGGGAUCUUAGGACCUCACGCUAUCAGAUGAGCCUAGGUCGGAUUAGCUAGUUGGUGAGGUAAAGGCUCACCAAAGCGACGAUCCGUAACUGGUCUGAGAGGAUGAUCAGUCACACUGGAACUGAGACACGGUCCAGACUCCUACGGGAGGCAGCAGUGGGGAAUAUUGGACAAUGGGCGAAAGCCUGAUCCAGCCAUGCCGCGUGUGUGAAGAAGGUCUUCGGAUUGUAAAGCACUUUAAGUUGGGAGGAAGGGCAGUAAGUUAAUACCUUGCUGUUUUGACGUUACCAACAGAAUAAGCACCGGCUAACUUCGUGCCAGCAGCCGCCGUAAAAC
rnacentral:rRNA from 1 species